GUAAGGACAUGUGGAGCGCUUAGAAGUGAGAAUGCCGGUGUGAGUAGCGAAAGACGGGUGAGAAUCCCGUCCACCGAUUGACUAAGGUUUCCAGAGGAAGGCUCGUCCGCUCUGGGUUAGUCGGGUCCUAAGCUGAGGCCGACAGGCGUAGGCGAUGGAUAACAGGUUGAUAUUCCUGUACCACCUAUAAUCGUUUUAAUCGAUGGGGGGACGCAGUAGGAUAGGCGAAGCGUGCGAUUGGAUUGCACGUCUAAGCAGUAAGGCUGAGUAUUAGGCAAAUCCGGUACUCGUUAAGGCUGAGC
rnacentral:rRNA from 1 species